GAGGCAUGCAACGGCUGUCGCUGACCAAAAGUCGUGCACGCCAGGGUGUGUCCUCUCACAUAAAAUCCAUCUCACCCUUUUGUGCACCACCGCGUGGGCACCCUUCGGGGUCGAACAGAUCCAGGAGGGGGCUCGCGUUUUCACACAAACCCCUUUUUAAAAGUGUAGAAUGACCCCACUUUUGCGAUAACACGCGAUCAAUACAACUUUCAACAACGGAUCUCUUGGCUCUCGCAUCGAUGAAGAACGCAGCGAAAUGCGAUACGUAAUGUGAAUUGCAGAAUUCAGUGAAUCAUCGAAUCUUUGAACGCACCUUGCGCCCCUUGGUAUUCCGAGGGGCACACCCGUUUGAGUGUCGUGAAAAUCUCAACCUUCUCGGUUUCUUCUGAACACCGAAGGAGGCUUGGACUUUGGAGGCCUUUGCUGGUGUCUCUCACCAGCUCCUCUCAAAUGAAUUAGCGGGGUCCUCUUUGCCGAUCCUCGACAUGUGAUAAGAUGUUUCCAUGUCUUGGCUUUAUGGCUCUGUUGCCUUUGGGACCCGCUUCUAACCGUCUCAGCGAGACAACGUUCGAGCGUGUCUCCCCUCUCGGGGAAACACUCUUGAACCCACGAAACCUUGACCUCAAAUCGGGUGAGUCUACCCGCUGAACUUAAGCAUAUCAAU
rnacentral:rRNA from 1 species